rnacentral:lncRNA from 1 species
UGUCACCUACCCCCCUCACAGCAGUUUCAGGCAUUAAAGUCACGUCUGAGAAAGUGUUGCUUCUGAUGAUCUUGUUUGUAUUCAAAGGUCAUACCCGCGCAUCAGUUUCAGUCUUAGUCUAUUUCUCAACAAUUAAAAAUUCCUCGCCUUUAAAAUAUCUCAAAAAGUUAAACCAGCAGAAACCUGGAUAAAGAUGGAUGCAGCCAUAUCAACAGUGUUAUCAUGGCCAUGAUCUGACAGAGGUCGUUUCUAAAAUGAAUAUUCACUUUUCCACUAAUACUAUUUUACAGGAUAUUUUCUUGUAAUGGAGUACCUAAACUAAACACUGUUGAACAAGUAUUUUAUUUCAAUUCACUCCACUGUCACUUUUUUUUUUACCUGCUGUAAGUCACUGGCUGAUUCUCACAGCCCUUAAAUAAUAUUCCCUCUGUCCUUAGCUGAACCAAUUGUAGUUAAGGACCCACCGUAUUAAGGAGCAUCCCAUAACUUAUACUGCUGCACAAAGGAGAGAGUAUUAAGGAGGGCAAAGGAAACAGGAUAAGACAGGAUGCACAAAAGCAGUCUUUGUGGAAGUCUUUUGAGCAUCAUGACAUGCUCCUGUAUAAAAUAUUUCUCCCUGUUUUGAUGCAGAGGAGAACCAGACUUUGAUGAAACUUCCCAACAUCACCAAAAGUGCAAUAAUGUAGAAAAAAACGAUCAUAAACAGACACUGAAAGGUGACUUGAGACUAAUCAUUAACAUGGGUAGGUUUUGUAACUGUCAGUAUGUGAGAAGUGGAAUUUAAAAAGUGUUGUUUAUGUAAAUUAAGCCCCAAAAACUGAACAUAAUUUUCAUAAAAACAACAAAAAGCAUUGCUCUCAUGUUUUAUAUCUACUUUCUCUUCAUGAUCAGUGAGGACUCGUAUUGUACUUUAUUAUGAGGAGAACUGAAUCUAACAGAGGUGGGGUCUGUCUACUAAAAGCAUGUUUCACAUUUUUUAUCAUGUUGAUUAAGUUUUAAUUUUGACUGAUCAGUAAUGAAUGUGACGUUUGAAGUGCGGGAUUUUUAAAAUUCUCCUUGAAACUUGACACUCAGUUAUUUCCAGUGUGAAGUCAUUUUGUUGACUUGUACCUUGCACUGAGUAAGCCUUCUUACAGUAUUACUGGGAAUGGGGACAAAUGAGCUCAACUGUCUGGCUACACAGCACACUCAGUCCCUCUUCAAGGUCACAGCUAUUUCCUCCUGGCAAUAAACAUGAAGUUAAUCUUUCGCUCUUUGUCAGGUAUGCAGACUCUGUCCUGACAAUCAGAUCACUGUGUCAGCUGACUGCUCUGCAAAGCUCACUUCAGGCCUAAAUAAAACUCACAAAGACGAAGUGUAGUAGUUGCAUCUUGUUGGAUUUUUCAGUUUCCUCCACACCAGUGUUAAUGAGAUAUCAUAAAAGCUUGAAUGUGUGAGAGAGAGUUUUGUGUAUAAGUACAAUAUUCAGGAUUAGCCUAUCAGAGUGCCCACACUGACCUCAGGUUUCUCAUGUGCAGCUGUUUGUAAAAAGGUAACAGAAUAGAAUUACUUUACUUUUUAUAAGAGUUAAUACCGUACACAUGUACAGCAGUUUUUUUAGUGGCCUGUUGAUAUAUAAGGCUUUCCUGAAACUACUAUUUGAUGUAACUAGCAGCUGUUCAAUUUUAACAAAGCUUUAACGGUUACAGAAAUUUAAAAGGAGUUAUUUCUCAUUCCUUCAUACCAAAAAUUGAUUUUAAUUAUCAAUUAAUUCAAUUAAUUAUUUAAUUAAUUCAAUUAUCAUGUAAGAUUGAUCACUAAAUUCAGCAGGCAAGAUUGAAGAUACACCAGAUACAUCUCAUACAGUAAACACACACACACACACACACACACACACACACACACACACACACACUUAUCAGCUGAUGAUCAUCCAGGCGUUUUAUCUUGAAAAUACCAGUAUUAAUUUCUGCCCCCUUUAGCUAAAAACAAGAAUACUGUGGUGAAUUGUGAAGGAGGAAAAACUUUGUCAAACCCAUCUAACUGAGCAUGACUCCUACUACACUAGUAACCAGAGAGCUUCUCCAUCUUAAACAGCAUAGGCUUGACUUUAAAUCACUACCAGCCUCACAAUCUGUAAGCCAAGAAGGACUAAAGUGACUGAUGGUAAGAAUCGUUGUUUAAGACAUGCUUUCCAUAUCAAAUGAUGAGUCUGCUGCUUUCAGAGCACUCCUCAGCUAUGUAUACUGCAAGGGCGAAAGACAGGAUACAUUAAUAAAAGUACUAAUACAGAAAGCAGAAAUGCCAAAGUUACUUUUCCAAACAACUAGUUACUUGAUAAUUGAUCAGGGAGUAACUUUUUGGAACUAAUUUACAGUGACUUGCCUAACAUUAGACCAGACACAAACAGCUAUUAAAGAUGAGUGACAGCUGAUCCAGCAGUGAUCAGCUGAUGCAAUCGUCAGAAACAGACGUCACCUUGCAUCACGAUCAGGAUGGAAAGGACUUCUUGUGUCUCUAAAAAUAUAUAUCCCAGUUCCCUCUUCUCUCUUUAUUCAUCCCUUCAUACACAACUUUAGUGGGGCAUGCAUGGAUGCAGUUGAUGAGCUUUGGGAAGCAGGAAAUAUGUUAGCAGUUAUUAAAACAGUCUGUUGGCUUCACAUUUCACUUUGGGUUUUACAUUCACUGAUGUUGACUGUAAUCCCCCUUUUAAAAAUGAAAACGGAAGUGUUAACAGAUUCUUCAUGCUGUCUUCCUCUUGUCUGCAGAGACUCUCUGCGGAUGUUAUGAGUUCCUGUGAGGUCCUAUAUCUGGCUUUUGGCAUGAAGAGUCACUGAAUCACCAGGGGAAAACACAAAAAAUUAAAAAUGAUACCAGCUGGAAGUUCCCUAGUGUAUCCUCACUGACAUACAUCCACAGAAACCGAAAUGGUUUUCCAUAUGCCUUGCUGGUAUGGAGAAAAGGAGUUACCAUUCUUGCAGAGUCAGGGUGUAAGUGGGAACAAGCUGUGCCAUACUGCUGUGCACUCUCUAGCCCCCAAUAAGAAAGAAGUCAUGAAAUAUUAACUCAAGAGAAAUAUGAAAUAUUUAAGCCUGCUAAGUGCAGUGUGUCUGUCAGAACAAAGAUGGAGCUAAUCUGGCAUGGCAGACAUAUACUAUACCACUGCAGCUCACCAUGUUGUCAUCAAAUACCCCCCAGAAGUCAACCAUCUCCUGGUAUGACUCACAUACCCCCUCCCACUUCUCAUGCUUCUUCUUGUUUCGAAGUUUCAUUUGUGCUCAAUGCUCUUUUCACGACAUUUGUAAAAGGGAACCUCACGACCUACUGCUAUGCUCAACAGUUCCACCAUAUUUCCUGAAAAAAAAUCCCUGUCUUAAAUUAGCACCAUUUGGCUGUUACACUUUCGCUAAGAAAUGUCGCUAAUUGUGAAAUGUGUUCGCUGGAACACAGAAGCUACAUUUACAAUAAAAUCAAUGUUAACUCUUCAUCUAGUUGAGACACUAGAGACACAAGCACAUAGACAAUAUCAUGUUUUUACACUCUUUCUUCUUCUUAAUCACGUAUUGUAUCAAACUACUUAAUGGGGCGGUGGGCAGUGCUGUUCUCUGCUGGGUCUCUGGUUCAAGUCUCGUCCGGGGCCUUUAUGCGUGGAGUUUGCACAUGGUUCCCCCUACACUCUGGAUUCCUCCCACAAUCCAAUGCCACACUGAUCAGGUUCACUCUAAAGUGGAUAUAUCUGUGUUCUGUGAUGGUUUGGGGACCUGUGCAAAGUGUGUGUCACCUCCUGCCCACUGUUGGCUGGGAAAGGUUCGAGCCCCUCCAUGACCUGAGCUGGAAUAAGCAGUAGAGAUGAUGAAUGGAUGGAUGGAUGCCCAGCAGCCCAAAGGUGACAGACAUCCCCAAACCGAAUG